GUGAAUCAUCAAAUCUUUGAACGCAAAUUGCGCCUUUUUCGGAAGGCAUGUCUGUUUGAGGGCACCAUUUAACAAAUAAUGUGCAUUUCGUGUGCACACGUUGAUGAGCUUUCCAGGAAGAAUUUUUUUUUUUUUUUUUUUUUUGUUGGGGCAUAAUGAACAGAGCGAAAGCUUUUUUUUCCGUUAGUG
rnacentral:misc_RNA from 1 species